AUAUCUGUAAACCAUGGAUGGUGAUGUUCACUUGCACAAGAAAAGUAGCGGAAAGUAUCUUUAUGGAUGUGGGCUCGAAGAACAUGAGAAAAGUAGCGGAAAGUAUCUUUAUGGAUGUGGGCUCGAAGAACAUGAGUUCCCGGUGUUGAAAUAGACAUUUGUAGCAGCAAGAAAGUAACAAACUCCUACUAACAUAAUUGCUAAAAUAUGAUAGAAUUACGAGGAAAUGAUGAUCUCAAACUACGCGAAAGUGUCUGUCUUUCAACACAAAUUGUAGAGAAUUGAUGGUAUACAUACAUUCAACUUAAUUUUGACAUUUUGUGUCUUUCUUAAGUUUGCUGCUUUAAUGAAAGCUUCUAAAAUAUAUCACUAUGUUUGAGUUUAUUUUUGAAGUCUUUUAUUUUGGAAACACAACUCUAAGGAGCUGUCUACGUGUGACUUAACGGUCACGGAUUUGAACUGUGGAAGCAACCACUAAUGCUUGCAUUAGGAUAGACUGAUUGUCUACAUCAUAUGACUGCCCUUUUUUGCCCUUUACAACUCUAAUGGAUGUUUUUACUUAGCUAAAUUUUGUGAGGUCUACAUUAAUGUGGAACAGUUGCUUCCUUAACAACCAAGAUGUGUUGUUUGUGACUAAAAGUUGGCCUUUGAAGAGGUUAAUCCCGCUUAUUUUUGUUUUUACCACGA